rnacentral:lncRNA from 1 species
AUGCGGAGGCUGCUGGGGGCCGUAAGAGGGCGGCCGGUCGCAAAGGGGAUAGACUCGGGGGUGUCCAGGGAAGCAGCCAAACCUCUGCGAGCCGGGGAGAGUCUGGGAGGCGGCUCCCGAGGGAGCGGAGCCUCCGAGAUCGAGGCGGCCCCAGGCGAGGAGUCAGGCGCCCCUCGCAGAGAGCGAGCCCACUCCCAGCGCUCGGCACCCCGCGCGCCCCCGGCUCCCCACUCCUCUGCCUCCGUGACUGACCUGCGAGUCCGGACGCGCCGACCUCCCGGACUGCGCUCUGGAGCUCGGGUGGGACGGGGACCGCGCCGAGCUCCUCGAGGGCGUCCGCGUCUCGGCGAUGCGCGCCCGCGGAGCCGUCCGCGGGAAUGCCGGGCGCAGGGGCGGGCAGCGGGCGCAGCCCGAGUGAGCCUGUGGCCGCUGAGCCGGCCGCACCGCGCGUCCUCCCUCCGCCCCUCCGGUCCGCACAACCAAUGGAGGCGGGCGGGCCCACUCCCCGCCGCCCCCCAGCCGCUGCUCGGGCGGGCGUUUGGCGCUAGGACAGCAACUCGGCUCCCGCGAGGGAGGAGCUUGCGCCGGCGUUGGAAAAUCCUGGAGGAUGAGGAGGCGUUUACGCAGGGAGCAGCAUCUGGGGAAGGCAGAUAUGCAGGCCCAGGGAGAGAUAAAUUGAAGAGUUUAUGCUUCCUGAACAUAGAGCCUGCACAGAGUUCUGGAAGACAAGCUGUGCAAAUCCCUCUCGAUAGCAAUGUGGUGUGAAUUGUUGGGUUGUGAAGACAGAUUUCAGGGAAAGAACUAUGACAUUUUCUGAAAUAUACAUAAUGUUUUGAAGAGGAACAGAGGAGGACCUAACAUUUAGGUUUACCCUAUCCACCUGGCAAUCUGGCAUUGUGAAAGGCACUUCAUCUCCUUUGAUCCUUCCUACAACCAUAUGAAGUAACUAUUCAUACAUCCGUUUUGAAAAUGAGGAAAUUGAGUCUCAGGAAGCUUAUAGCAUUUUCCCAAACUCCUCCAGUUAAUAAAUGUAUUUGAUUCAAUAGCCA